UGCAAAGAGUGGCGAACGGGUGAGUAACACGUGGGAAACCUACCUCUUAGCAGGGGAUAACAUUUGGAAACAGAUGCUAAUACCGUAUAACAAUGACAACCGCAUGGUUGUUAUUUAAAAGAUGGUUCUGCUAUCACUAAGAGAUGGUCCCGCGGUGCAUUAGCUAGUUGGUAAGGUAAUGGCUUACCAAGGCGAUGAUGCAUAGCCGAGUUGAGAGACUGAUCGGCCACAAUGGGACUGAGACACGGCCCAUACUCCUACGGGAGGCAGCAGUAGGGAAUCUUCCACAAUGGGCGAAAGCCUGAUGGAGCAACGCCGCGUGUGUGAUGAAGGGUUUCGGCUCGUAAAACACUGUUGUAAGAGAAGAAUGACAUUGAGAGUAACUGUUCAAUGUGUGACGGUAUCUUACCAGAAAGGAACGGCUAAAUACGUGCCAGCAGCCGCGGUAAUACGUAUGUUCCAAGCGUUAUCCGGA
rnacentral:rRNA from 1 species